rnacentral:rRNA from 1 species
AUUGAACGCUGGCGGCAGGCCUAACACAUGCAAGUCGAACGAGUGGCGGACGGGUGAGUAAUGUCUGGGAAACUGCCUGAUGGAGGGGGAUAACUACUGGAAACGGUAGCUACUACCGCAUACCGUCGGGUGUGCCCAGUUGGGAUUAGCUGGUAGGGGGGGUAAAGGCUCACCUAGGGGACGAUCCCUAGCUGGUCUGAGAGGAUGACAAGCCACACUGGAACUGAGACACGGUCCAGACUCCUACGGGAGGCAGCAGUGGGGCAUAUUGCACAGUGGGCGCAAGCCUGAUGCAGCCAAGCGGCGUGUAUGAAGAAGGCCUUCGGGUUGUAAAGUACUUUCAGCGGGGAGGCGUUACCCGCAGAAGAAGCACCGGCUAACUCCGUGCCAGCAGCCGCGGUAAUAC